rnacentral:misc_RNA from 1 species
GGUUUUUGUAUACUUUUUCAUAACAGGUUAGUGACAGAUGACAACUCUUGGAUGUCGAUACUCAGUUCAAAUAUAAAGCUAUCAUCUUCUUCCUCCAUUCACAGACUAAAAGAAAUUGAAGAUUAGUGUUUCUACCUCCCAUUUUUACACUCGCUUACUGUUUCUAAUGGUAGAUGCUACGGCAUUAUAAGCUUGGUCGAUUUCCUCUUCUGUCAUCUCAACGGUAUCAUCACUGUCAUAUGCAGCAGCAUCUUUGGCAGCUCCACCAGCCUUUCCACCUACGCGAGUCCGCUGCUCUUUCAUCUUCAAAAGUUCAUCGUCUUCCCUAUUUUUG